GAGUGAAGGAGUGAGCUCGCCAAGCACAACCAGCAGGGAUGAAAGGCUAACUCAGUGAACAACAGAAAGACAGACGGACUUCUGAACAGACACACCGACCAGCAGAAACCACUGGGGAAAGCAACAGUCAGCCAGUGCGACUGACUUAGAGUCCCAAACAGCUAUCUUCUUCUGGGGACAACAAAGAGAGGUGGCUCAGCAUGCAAGCAUGGGGAUUGGAGUCUCAAAACUUCGAGAAUCCACCUAAACCUGAGUGUGGUGGUGCAUGGCUCUAAUCCCUGUUUACAGCGGUGCCCAUCCUGCCUCUCCUGGGUGUGUGGCCUGCAAACAGGAACGUCUUCUGACUGAGGCACGGUUCACUCUUCUAUGGGUACCAGCAUCUUCGGCCUUCAAUAA
rnacentral:lncRNA from 1 species